CUUUACUGGAUAUAAUAAACAAAGAUUUUUUAAAAGAGUUUAAACUAAACUCAGGAAAUGUUAGAAAUUCAUCAUCAUCCUCACAAAAUUAUACCAUUACCGAGGUCAAAAUUGAUGUCCCAGGAGGUGGAGUAAUUGCAGGAAAAUUAUGGAAAUCUGCCGGUCAGAAACUCACUCAAACCAAACCACACCCUCCAAUAAUUUGUGUGCACGGAUGGCUCGAUAAUGCAGGAUCGUUCGAUAACCUCAUCCCCCUCUUAAUGUCACCGGACUCAAAUGCACCCUCUACAUUUUUCGCCCUCGACCUUCCCGGUCAUGGAUUGACCACGUAUUGUCCGCAGGUUUGGUAUGAUGCGCAUAUCGAGGCAUUAAUUGCAAUUAGAAGAGUAUUGUCGCAUUUCGAAUGGGAAGAGGUGUCCUGCAUAGGACAUUCGAUGGGCGGAAUUAUAGGAUACCUUUUUACCUCAUUUUAUCCCAAGUAAGUUGAAAAUAAUAAUUUUAUUUCCGGCGAUUUUCUGAAUUGCAUUAAAAAAUGUGUUUUUCUUUUUCAGUUCCGUCCACAAACUUGUCGCUCUUGAUAACAUCCGUACAAUUCAGCACUAUCCGCUCAUAGCAGUUUUAAAAUCCUCACUUGAUUUAGUGUUUGAAGUCGAAGAGAAAGCUAAACUUCCCCCGAAGGGGUUAAAAUUUGAUGAAUUAGUACAAAAAUUCUAUGAAGGACGAAAACGACAAAAUCCACUCUCUUUGGAAGGAAGUAGAAUUUUGCUUCAAAGGGGCGCAAUACCAGUACAAGGGGAGAAAGACUUAUUUCAAUAUUCGCACAAUCUUCGUACCCUUAUCCCUGGACAUUUUGAAGGGAUUUUGUCUCCUUCAUUAUUAACAAUUUGGUUGGUCUGAUACACAUUUGUGACGGGAAGUCCUCGAAAACUCAUGUAUGUGGGCAAGAGAAGAAUAGUGGGAAAGUUGAAACUGAUGUUUGUGUCCCACAACGAUUUUGUGGCUUAGUAGGAAAACGUUAUCGUAAUAAAUUGUUGUUCAAAAUGCUCGGUGAAAGGUUAAAUUUAGACAGUGUUGGGAAGAAUGAAGUGUUCUACCUCGACCCGGAGAGUGACCUCAUUACAACUCGGACAGCAGAGGCCCUAAAAAGUGACGUAUAUGAAAUACACGACCUGUUUGUGCAAUACUGGACAGACAGCAUGAAACUAAUUAGAGAUUUUACAUUCGGCUACUCGGCUCUAACUAGUACGAAUGAAAUUAAUUUGUAUGUAACGAAAAAUCAACAGAAAAGGAAAACUCUGCAAAAGACGGGUUCGACAGACGGUGGGUGUUCUUAUGAGGAUGCUAUUACGCCGGGAUGCACAGCGCUGAAAGAAAAUGUCAUCCGUCUUAAACUUUUUGCAUCCGACGCAUACACCGGAUUACAGCUGAGGCACCGUGCACGACGAUUGAAAGGGGACGAUAAGGGUCGAUUCGUCCUGAAAAUGGGGAACGGUUCCUAGCUGAAAACGGAACACUCAAGAAGCUAGAUGACAUGUUAAUGGCCGUCAUAAAACUAGCCAGGAAAAGAGUUGUCAGUGUUGACGCCGUGCCAUUGCCAUUGCCAUUGAUUAAGACUAAGGCGAAGGGUUUGCCUGCAUAUGUUGCCAAAUCUAAUAAACCCAGACUGGUUUGUGAUUUCGAAGGGUGUAAAUUCGUGACGAUUCACAUGUCAAGAUUGACCCGCCAUAAUAAUUCGCAUCUUGGUAUCAAACCUUUCACAUGUUGCGGGUGCGGACACAAGUUUUCCGAACGUGAUAGUCUCAAUACACAUGUUAACAAAGGAUGUGUUGAUCGAAGAACAACCAUGAAGAGAACCCCAAUCAAGAUAAUAAGUGCUAGGAGAUUGGCUGUUCGACAGGUCGAAAGUGGGAAGGAGGAAAAUAAACCUGAGAAGGUGUCGGAAAAUGAGACCGUAGUAACUACCAGUCCUCGGGAUGACGCUAAAACAGCACCUGAAGUGAUGUUAAAGCGUCGAGCACUGAUCCCGAUACAAACUCAACCAACAAAGCAAACGAAACUAAAUUUUCCCGUCAUCAAGAAAGCAUAAUUUAAGUAAAUUGUUUACAACUCGGAUAUCUAACUGACUAACUAAAAAUACUGGACUGGACUACUAUUUAAAAUAUUUAAAUAGUAUCAAAUAAUUAGUUUGAUUUUUUUUACCGAUGCGUAUUAGCUAUUAUACACUAUGUCUAGUUCAAUCAAAACAUAGGGUUCUGAUGACUAUAUUUUUUUCUCUGUUGUUUUUCGUUUCUAUAUAUCUUACUUCUACAUCAUUCGUUUGUACGUAUGAAGUCCAUUUCAAAAAUUUCUAAUAAAUGUUGUUGCACAGCACAUUA